AUUGAACGCUGGCGGUAUGCUUAACACAUGCAAGUCGGACGGAAACGAUAGGAGCUUGCUCCUAGGCGUCGAGUGGCGGACGGGUGAGUAACGCGUAGGAAUCUGCCUAAUAGUGGGGAAUAGCCCGAGGAAACUCGGAUUAAUACCGCAUGAACCUUACGAGGUAAAGAGGGCCUCUUCUUGAAAGCUCUCGCUAUUAGAUGAGCCUGCGUGAGAUUAGCUAGUUGGUGGGGUAAAGGCUCACCAAGGCGACGAUCUCUAGCUGGUCUGAGAGGAUGAUCAGCCACACUGGGACUGAGACACGGCCCAGACUCCUACGGGAGGCAGCA
rnacentral:rRNA from 1 species